rnacentral:lncRNA from 1 species
ACUGCUGGCCGCCCAGUCGCCAGGGAGAGUGAAUACAGCUAGGGACGUGAAAGAACGGGGAAGAUAACUGAAGGGUGGUUUGAGAAACCCACCAGGCCAACUGGGAAUUAGAAUUGAUUCAAAACUCUGUUGAUCGCCUGACCUCCAUAAGCUCCUACUCUGAUGCUUCUUCUUAGAGACAAGGCCUCACUCCAUUGCCCCUAGGCCAGGCCUGGUGAGUGACAGCAGCCCUGGUGCCCCAGCCUGCUAGGGCAACGUGUCACCCAGAGGCUUCGAGGCCCUCCUCACCAUGGUACCCACCUCCUCGAAGCUGCCUCCCAAAGCCCUCUAGCUGCUGCUGCAGCCGCAACAAGUGCCACCACCAGGGGCCUUCCAGCUGCCAGUGCAGGCUUUCCAGAGCUGGGGAUUGGGGAACCUGCAGUCAUCGCCUCAGCAACUCUGGUGGCAGCCAGGCCAGCCAGGGCAGUGAUGAUGACUCUGUAAUGAAAAGUGGGAUGACAGCUCCACACUGGUGGAUGAGUUGAGAACACCAGGCAGAGGCAUGUACCUGGUCUUUGAAGGUUCAGUGGACCUGCACUACCAUUGCAGUGCAAAGUGCAAGAGUUGAAGCUUGGAAACCUUCACCUAGAUUUAGGAAGGUUCAUGGAAAAGUCUGGAUGUCCAUGCAGAAGCCUGCUGCACAAGUGGAACCCUCAUGGAGAAUCUCUACCAGGGCAGUGUGGAGGGGAAAUGUGGGGUUAAAGGCCCCACACAGAGUCCCACUGGAGCACUUCCUAGUGGAGCUAUGAGAAGAGAACCACUGUCCUCCUGACAUCAAAAUGGUAGAUCCACUGGCAGCUUGCACUCUCAGCCUGAAAAAGCUACAAGUACUCAAGGCCAGCCCUUGAGAGCAUCUACAGGUGCUAAACCCUGGAAAGCCACAAGUGUGGUUGAUGCCCAAGGCUUUGGGAGCCCACCCCUUGUACCAGCACGCCCUUGAUGUGGGAUAUAAAGUCAAAGGAAGUUAUUUUGGAGCUUUAAGAUUUAAUGACUGCUCUGCUGGGUUUUGGACUUGUGUAGGCUUGUAGCCCCUUUCUUUUGGCCAAUUUCUUCCUUUUAGAAUGGGAAUGUUGAUCCAAUGUCUAUACCCCCAUUGUAUCUUGGAAGUAACAAACUUGCUUCUUGUUUUACAGGGUCAUAGGCAGAAGGGACUUGUCUCAGAUAAGACUUGUCUCAGAUAAGUCUUAUUUGAGACAUAGCCUUGUCUCAGAUAAGACUUUGGACUGUGGACUUUUGAGUUAAUGCUGGAAUGAGUUAAAUAUUUGCAGGACUGUUGAGAAAGCAUGGUUGUUUGGUUGUUUGUUUGUUUGUUUGUUUUGAGACAGAGUCUCCCUCUGUCA